rnacentral:rRNA from 1 species
UACAGGGAGGGCAAGCGUUGUUCGGAAUUACUGGGCGUAAAGGGCUCGUAGGCGGCUUUUCAAGUCGGGGGUGAAAGCCUGUGGCUCAACCACAGAAUUGCCUUCGAUACUGUUAGGCUUGAGACCGGAAGAGGUGAGUGGAACUGCGAGUGUAGAGGUGAAAUUCGUAGAUAUUCGCAAGAACACCAGUGGCGAAGGCGGCUCACUGGUCCGGUUCUGACGCUGAGGCGCGAAAGCGUGGGGAGCAAACAGG